CGAACGGGUGAGUAAUGCGUGACCAACCUGCCCCAUGCUCCAGAAUAGCUCUUGGAAACGGGUGGUAAUGCUGGAUGCUCCAACUUGACGCAUGUCUUGUUGGGAAAGUGUUUAGUGGCAUGGGAUGGGGUCGCGUCCUAUCAGCUUGUAGGCGGGGUAAUGGCCCACCUAGGCUUCGACGGGUAGCCGGCCUGAGAGGGCGGACGGCCACAUUGGGACUGAGAUACGGCCCCAGACUCCUACGGGAGGCAGCAGUC
rnacentral:rRNA from 1 species